AUACGUAGGGAGCGAGCGUUGUCCGGAAUUACUGGGUGUAAAGGGAGCGUAGGCGGGAGUGCAAGUCAGAUGUGAAAUACAUGGGCUCAACCCAUGGGCUGCAUUUGAAACUGCAUUUCUUGAGUGAAGUAGAGGUAAGCGGAAUUCCUGGUGUAGCGGUGAAAUGCGUAGAUAUCAGGAGGAACACCGGUGGCGAAGGCGGCUUACUGGGCUGUUACUGACGCUGAGGAUCGAAAGCGUGGGGAGCAAACAGGAUUAGAUACCCUGGUAGUCCACGCUGUAAACGAUGAUUACUAGGUGUGGGGGGACUGACCCCUUCCGUGCCGCAGUUAACACAAUAAGUAAUCCACCUGGGGAGUACGGCCGCAAGGUUGAA
rnacentral:rRNA from 1 species